AGGAGGCCAAACUGUGGUGGUGGAGGUUGCAACUAGGGCGCAGUUGAGGGCUUGUGUUUAUGUUCCAGUAUGUUUAUGUUCCAGUUUGGUGGCGAUUAUGAUGAGAUAGUGAGGCUUGGUAGGGAUUUCUGAGUUUUGAGCGUUUUGGAAGUUUUGCCCAUCUUGCUGCCUUUGGUUUUGGAUGCUGCGUUGGAGUAUUUAUUUGUAACCCUGUUGGUUUUCGCUCAGUUGUAGAGGAGCGGGGUGUGACUGGGAUUUAUUUUGCUUGUAAAUGUGUAUAGAUGGACAGCACAGAUGAACAAGAGUUGGCACUGAGACCACGAGUCUGCGUAAUCAGUGAACACUAAAAAAUUGUAGAACCCAUGCCGUGUUGCGAUUGUGUUGAGGUGACGGAAUGAGCACAAGGAAAGGUGUGAUACGAAGGAAGUGAGGGAAUGUGGAGAAUUUUGUUGACAGGAUCAGCGUGUUGCAAAUGUGGGCAAUCCAGAGGAUUUUGGGGUAUGCCUGGGAUCCGAAGGAUAUCCAAUCUUCAGAGAUUGAGAGUUUUACGAAGUGUGCAAUUUCGCUCACGCCCUGAGAGCAUCUUCGGUAACCACGAACGUAGUUGCGAUUUGCUCUCAUUGCUUAGCGUGGCAAUCCUUGCUGUCCGGACAGAAUUUAGGAACAUGACGUACAGGGCAAUCAACGAUUUCGAGGGCAUUCUGAGAAUAAUCAUCCGAAUGCAGCAGCCCGGGCGGGUGAUUAUUCUCAGAGUUCCCAAGGGAGCGUGGAUCGACCGGCGUAAAGUCGGAGCCUUACGAUCUUUGUCCGCAUGCUGAACAUGUUGUGCACUCAGUGAGCCUGUGAAGACGUGGACAGAAGAUCUGGUGUACGAAGCUGCACAUCACGAUCAGGGUUUCAAUGUUAUACUUUCCAUUACGAGCUUCUGUCCGCUGGAGCGAGGAUUAUGAGAAAUAUCCUGUCCUUGAUUGUAAAGAGAAUUUCCUUCGUUGGGCUUUAUGAACACGGUUGUCGCCCAACGUGUGGGAAGUGGGAGAGCGUGCGCUUUCGUCAAGUCUAUUUUAGCUAUACGAAGCGGUGCUUGUGGGGUUUUCGUCCUAUCGGGUCUCAUUGUCGAUCCUGAACGAGAUCGCAAUUUUCAUUGUAGUGUUUGCACGUCUAGCUGUUUUCAAUUGUAGCGAGCAGCAUCGCUUGAGCUUCUACUCGAACUCUUUUUCCCCGUUUGACCUGCAAGUCAUUUGUGAUUUACAAGUCAAUGCAGCAAAGGAUUUUUGGAGUUGCAAUUAUUUCAGUAAAUCAGUUGUUCUUUUUGGAUUGCAGAUGUUCUACAAGCAAGCUAAGAAGGUGAAUCAGUAAUGCACCAUUUUAUAAAUACAUUGGCUGCCAUUUGGGACUUUCCAGGUCCGUAAUGGGUUGGUUAGCCUGGAGACAGGUGCGCCUGGAUCCCUCAAUCUGAUAAUUUGACAUUGCACCUUUCUGGAAAAGUUGGGGUACGUUCUUCCUUCUACAGGUUGCAUGCGUAGCUUUGCGAGCCUACUGAGAUGUGCACGAAGGAGGAGCAAAAGUUCAAGUCAUGCACCUUUCAGCCCAGGCACACCUAUCGUAAAGUUGUCAUGUGCCGACUUGCUGUAGUUACGGGUGUAUGGUGCGAUCCGAUAUUGGUUGGUACAGGGGUGGCGUCUACAUCUACUUCCAUUGUAUGUCCUACGUGCAACCAUGUUAAGUACGAGGGCGUGCAGUAGCAUCAUGGGCUCGAAAUCAGCUGAAACCAGUGGUGGGUCGAGUGGGGGGCGGCAACCUAGUCCUUUGGACCUGUACUCCAAAGGCACACAAAUUAUUGAGCUCGGAUCCGCAGUGUGGCCGGAGAACCCCAUUCGUACUGGUAGGUCUGAGGUGUACAUAUGGGGUUCUGAGCACGCGGUGAAGCUCUGCAUGGGCCCGACUUUUGCCCUUCAUGAAUAUACUAUGAGCCGGGCAGCUAGGAACUAUGCUGUGCGUACUGUAGCCAUGUUCACAAUUCAUGGUAAACCAAAUGGCAUAGUCAUGGAACGGGGGAAGUCUGUGAACCCGGUGACGUGCGAUUUAAAGCAGAUUGCAUUUGAGAUGGUGCGAGCCGUUCAAGGACUCUAUAGCAUAGGCAUUAUCCACGGGGAUAUAAAAUUGUCUAGUUUCCUCGUUUGUCGUGAUGGAUGCGUUCGUCUGUGUGACUUCGGAACUAGCGAGUACAAAUGUGAUAGUGUGAGCCACUCGGAAAUGUCUAUUCCAUGGUCAAGGCCUUCAUUGUUGCGCAAUCCUGACAGGCCGCGUGUCAAGGCGGACGAUUUGUACUCGUUGGGGCUGACAAUAUGGGAAUUGUAUACGGGCAAGGUUCCAUUCGUACCACCUACAUCUGAGGGAUGGGAGUCACUGGAUAUAAACGAGGUAGCAGAAGAGGCGAUACUGGCGGGAGAGCAGGUGGACCUCAAUGACAUAUUAGACCUUGAGAUUCGCUGUGGUUGCUUCACUUGUGAGCGAGGAGGUCGAGCACCCACUCUGCCAGGUGUAGUAACUUGGGGCUUCCGAAAAGUAGCCAAAUAUUGAGCCGAAAGAGGGGUUGUCAACCUAGACAUAGCAUUUACGAGCUUCAUCUCAGUAACUUCUUCCCCAAAAAUGAGGUUGCACUCAUCUGUAAAUGUUAGUCUAUAAUACCAAAGAAUGGUCUUUUUGUUUGUUU